UACGUAGGGACCAAGCGUUGUUCGGAUUUACUGGGCGUAAAGAGCGCGCAGGCGGUCGAAUCAGUCGAAUGUGAAAGCCCCCGGCUCAACUGGGGAGGGUCAUUCGAUACUGUCCGACUCGAAGGCAGGAGAGGGAAGCGGAAUUCCCGGUGUAGUGGUGAAAUGCGUAGAUAUCGGGAGGAACACCAGUGGCGAAGGCGGCUUUCUGGCCUGUUCUUGACGCUGAGGCGCGAAAGCUAGGGGAGCGAACGGG
rnacentral:rRNA from 1 species